AGGGAUCAAACCUGCGCCAUUAUAAUUACAUACAGUUGCCACGUGCUCUAAAUAGGUCUCAGAGUAAAACAGUUCUUAUUCUGAUGAUUAUAGGUUUUUGGGUUUUUUUUUGUUUGUUUGUUUGUUUUGUUUUGUUUUGUUUUGUUUUGUUUUUGCUUUUUAGAGCUGAACCUGUGGCAUACGGAAGUUCCCAGGCUAGGGGUCCAAUUGGAGCUACAGGUGCUGGCCUACACCACAGCCACAGCAAUGCAGGUCCUACACUACAACUCACAGCAACACUGGAUCCUUAACCCACUGAGCGAGGCCAAGGAUCGAACCGGCAACCUCACGGUUACUGGCCGGAUUCACUGCUGCCGCGCCACAACGGAAACUCUGUCUAGCAUUUCUAUAACAUCUGGUAUCCGUAAAUUGUGUGCAGUUGCCUUUUAGUUUGGUAUUUAUUACAGGGGCAUUUGAUUUAUUGAUAAACAACUUGGCAGUUCAUUAUUUAUUAGAAUAGGAAGCUGAAGAAAUACUAUCUAGUCUCUGGCAGUCAUGGAUCAAUUAUUACUAUUGGUCUCCUGGGAUUCUCUAAUCAGUCGCCAUAAAAAAAGUCAAUUUGCAAUUAGGAAAAGAAAUGUGUAUAUUUGGCAGCAUUUACAUUGAUAUGAUUGACAACAGGCAGGCCUGAGAGCAACUCUACAACACAGGAAGAAUAAGCUUGUCUUGACAUCAGCAUACUGUCUUUUAAAAAAAAAAAAAACCACCACUGAUCCUAGGAUGAGAAAGAAGUGUGGGAUGGGUUGGUUUUGGCAAUGACUGGGAUUCUAUGAAGGCUGCAUACAAAUGUCUCCAUAGCAGAAACCCCCCAAAGGAACAAGGAAUAUUGUUUCAUUGAUACUCUGGAACAUCACUAAAAGGACUGACUUAUCAAAAGAGGAAUAACUGGGAGCUCCUGCUGCCAUGCAAUGGGACAGCACCAGGAUGCAGGUUCGAUUCCCAGCCGGACACAGUGGGUUAAAGGAUCUGCCAUAGGUCACAACUGCGGCUCAGAUCUGAUCCCUGGCCUGGGAACUCCGUUUGCUGUGGGGUGGCCAGAGAAAGGGGGGGGGCAAUGAAAACCGAAUUAAAAAACAUCUGGCAAAGAAAACCAUUAUCUCAGAGAUGAUCGCUCACCAAACGAGAUAAUGAACUUUUUGUACUAGAUGCUCAUAAACCUGGGUGACCUCAAAUGACUACCAGGUUCCUUUUUUUUUUUUUUUUAAAUAUUAACAAUAUCACCCUUUAGCUAAGUGUUUAUGUUCUGUAUCAUCUGAACCACACUCCUCUUUUGUGCAGGAGAAUGAUUAUAUUUCAUUUAUGUGUUUUUCAGUUUUUUGGAAGUAAGAAGUAUUAUUUUAGGUUUUUGAAGGCUUGGGGUCAGUGAAACAAAGGUGUCUGAGAAGAAGAAUGGGGACAGAUCCUAAAGGGAAAGUCCCCGAUCAGAGUCAGAGGGAGGGUUCUGCUCUGAUCUGGAAAGGGAAUAAUUGAAAGAGAGCGCCUGGGUGAUGGAGGGUGAAGCAGGAAGGCUGCCGUCAUGAUCAUUUGGGAAAUGCACCCCAUCAGGCCGCCAAAUACAUUGAAAACAGCCCCACACACCAGUUAGGUAAACAUCUCUAACAUUUCUUAUUCGUUGGAUCUUCUUUCCUUUAAGAUAUGCCCUUGAGGAGUUCCCGUCGUGGCGCAGCGGAAGCAAAUCUGACUAGGAACCAUGAGGUUGUGGGUUUGAUCCCUGGCCUCGCUCAGUGGGUUAAGGAUCUGGCGUUGCCGUGAGCUGUGGAAGGAGAUCCUUUCUCCCCAUCCUUGACAGCUCAGGGGGCUGAAACCGAAGCAAGGUCCAGGCUGUAAGCCAAGAAUCCCCGCGGAUACACAUUACUGUACAGAAAAUAGAUAAACUAUAAGGACCUGCUAUGUGGCACAGGGACAUACAUUCAAUAUCUUGUAACUACCUACAAUGAAAAAGAAUCUGAAAAAGAAUAUCCAUGUGUGUUUGCCUGUGUAUGUGUAUAACUGAAUCACCCUGCACCUGAAACUAACACGACGUUGUAAAUUUAUGUCAAUUGAAAAAAAAAAACAAAAUUCCCUACAGGGUCUCCGUGAACUGUGGCACUUAGACACAAGGUCAGAAGGUUUGCUUUCAGGUUUGCCUUGAAAAUCUGACCAAGCAAAUAUUUCAAUCUAGAGCUUCACCUAAAUGUCACCUUGUCAAAUUUUGAAGUUUAAUGCUAGACAACAGCUGUGUGGAACAGAGAUCACCAAGAGACAGAAAAAUAAGGGGGGAAAAAAAGGAUACCAAAUAAACCCAUUUAAGAUAUGUCAGUAGCUGAAUAUCCUCCUUGACCAAAUUCUAACCUUCUUAAAAAUGGUUGUUUGUACAUCAUAAAAAAAAAAUCAAACAAAUAUCAUUAAUGCUCGCGGCGGGGGGGAAAAAUUAACAUAUUCAUGAAUGAGCACUUUGCUUGCACUUGUCAAGGUUGAGACUUUGCUCUUGAACAAGUAAAAUUUUGUUUGAAGUACCAUUAAUUUAUCUGAAUUUACCAUCCUCUAUUUCAAAAUUCAUAUGAUACCUCUCAUCAAAUAAAGAAUUCCUUUCCAGACAAAAUGAUUAAACCUCAGAAGUGAAGUACAAAUUGGACUUUGAUUUUUCCUGGCCAGACCCCAUGACUUGGCUUCUAUCUUUAAUAGCUACAGAAGUCAAAAUAAAACAUAAACUAUAUUAGGUUAGCCUGUCUUUCCAAUAAUUUUAUGGGGGGAAAGAAUUUAAAUUGGCUGUUUACUUCAAUAAAGUGGUCAAUAUAAACAACGUGGUUGAUGGCAGACUAAGAGAAGAUUCCAGGAGUUCCCGUCGUGGCUCAGUGGUUAACAAAUCCGACUAGGAACCAUGAGGUUUUGGGUACGAUCCUUGGCCUCGCUCAGUGGGUUAAGGAUCCGGCAUUGCCAUCAGCUGUGGUGUAGGUUGCAGACGUGGCUUGGAUCCCUCGUUGCUGUGUGUGUGGUGUAGGCCAGGGGCUACAGCUCUGAUUAGACCCCUAGCCUGGGAACCUCCAUAUGCUGAGGGAGCGGCCCUAGAAAAGACAAAAAGCCAAGAAGCCAAAAAAAAAAAAAAAAAAAAGAUUCCAACUGAUUAUUCUACUCUGCACUGGGAACCAGUCAAAACUAAGGAAAGCAACCACUGAACCAAAGCAAACAGGCAUGCAUAUGUGUUGUUAAUUUUUCAGAACCUAAAAGGCAGACUGAAGGAGUCCUCAUUUAAGCAGAGGUGGUUGUUUUAUCCUGUUUAGCUUUGUCAGCUUCAGUAGCUCAACAAGCCACACACAUCCAUAUGCCAGGCCCCUGAUCACAGAACCAUCAGGAAAGAAGUCAAUCCACUGAAGUCGACUCUCCUACGAACACUCAAGCAUGUGAAAUCUACCAGAGCCUGACCCACCCAUCCUCAACACCCACCAAAAAAGUCCAAUAUCCCUGAAGCACUGGUUCAGCGGGGUGGGGGGAAGUGUGCUUGGGAGUUCCCUUUGUGGUUUGUGGCUCAGCAGUUAACAAACCCGACAAGGUUCCAUGAGGAUGUGGGUUCGAUUCCUGGCCUUGCUCAGUGGGUUAAGGAUUGGGCAUUGCUGUGAACUAUGGCGUGGAUCACAGACAUGGCUUGGAUCCCAUGUUGCUGUGGCUGUGGCACAGGCCAGCAGCUGUAGCUUCGAUUCGAGCCCUAGUCCAGGAACUUCCAUAUGCCUUGAGUGCAGCCCUUAAAAAAAGCCAAAAAAAAAAAAAAAAAAAAAACAAAUUCUCCCUUGCCUGUGGGAAUGUUACAAAGUACAACCUUCUGGAAAAACAAUUAAUCGCAAGGUCAGGAGACAGAGAAAGUCUUGAGAAGGUCCCUAUGUUUGAGCCAAUAAUUCCACUGCUAACAAUCUAGCCUGAGAAAGUGAUCCAAAAUAUAGAGAAAAAUUAUGACCAAAGAUGGUUAUUAAAGUAUAUUUACGGUAUUUGGGGUAAUUUGGAACCAUCUAAAUGUUAGAGGGGAGAAGGUAAAUGAACCUGGUAACGCCACACACGAGAAUGUCAUAUGGCUACUGAAAACCAUGAUCAGAGACACUGUUGACUUGACCUCGAAAAGUUACUUAAAACAUUUGAUGAAAUGCACGGAUCCAGACACUAUACACAGUACAACUUCCGCAAAAAUAUGCAUAUCAAACAGACCGAAAAGAAAUACACCAAAACGUGAACAGUAAUUAUCAUUUGCUUAUGAUAUGUGUGAUUUUAACUUUCUCUUGUUCUACUAGCCUGUUUUACGAAAACUUUACAGAAAGCACAUGAUUUAAAAAAAGAAAACAUUAAAAAGAAAAAAUCAGGGCAGGGGGUGCCUGUUCGCCUGUUGAGUGGGCAGACUGAAACAGACUCAGGGAAAUAUUUCUGUCCUUCUGGAGGAGAUUCUAUGUCCUACCUGUCGCUCACACUUGAUGGAAACCCUGGUGCUGCCCUCCGCAUCAUGCCUGUGCCUCCCAUGACCUUGUCUUUGACUUUCAGCCUUCCCUAUUUAUCCUGAAACACCCUUCUGGCAGUUAUCUCUUCUCUGUAAACCAUGUUCUCCACCCCCCUUCGCCAGCAGGACCUAGUUCCAUGGCCUGGUCCGUUUCCUUCUGGUCCGGCCUGGUUGAGUCUGGGUACCGACAACAAGCAAAUUACCUUUGAAAGAAACAGGCAUGAUAACAUGAGUUAUCAAAGAAUAGGGCAAGGAAACACAGCUUUCAUAAUGGCUUCUAGAAAAGCACUUUCUAUACAGUGGGCUUCCCCUCACAGACCUGAUCCUAUACCAGGCCCCAGCUGGAACUGAUCUCUUGGAAGUCCCUACUGUGACAACCAACCUUAAGGUCUGUGCAGAACCUUCCACGUUUCAGAGCACCUUCAAAGACUCACAGCAUUUCACCCUCCUGACUGUAAAGUGGAGAGAUCAAGCAUUAUUUUCCAAAUGGUACCAAAAAGAAAAUUGCAACUCAGGAGUUCCCGUUGUGGCUCAGCAGGUUAAGGACCCAACAUUGUCUCCCUGAGGAUGUGGGUUUGAUCCCUGGCCUGGCUCAGUGGGUUAAGGAUCUGCCUUGCAACAAGCUGCUGCAGAGGUCGGAUCCCGUGUUGCCGUGGCUGUGGUAUAGGCUGGCAGCUGCGGCUCCAAUUAGACCCCUAAACCAGGAACUUCCAUAUGCUGCAGGUGCAGCCAUAAAAAGAGGGAAAAAAAAUCACAGCUCAGAGACUGGGCACUGAGUGGCUUAUGCCCCCUGAUCCCCGAGGCGCGCUCCUCUGUAAAUAGUGAUGAUAAUACCUGCGUGGGGGAGUUGUCCUAGGGAUUAAAUGAGAUAAUGUAUGCAGCCUGCUCAGCACCGUGUCUGGAACAAGGGCAGCAUUCAGCAAAUGCCAGCUUCUAUGACUGUUAGGGUCAAAAGGAAGCUCAAGGUGACAUAGCUGGGAAGCGACAGUGCCAAGAUGGGAAGCCAGGCUGUUUCAAGCCAAGGCCACCCUUUUUUAGACUUUAUUCCCAGCACUGUAAGGAGUAUUAAGGCAUGGCCAGUGCCCUUAUAGAAUUUAUAAUAUUUUGUAGCAGGCCUAUCUCAAUCACAUAAGGUAAUAAAGCAGUUAUUCCCACAAAGAAUUAAGGCAACAGUAAUUAAAACUAGGAUGUAGCCCACAAGUUACACAGUUCUUUUGUCCAACAGCUACCACUAUAGCAUCUUCUUAUGCAUAGAUCCUAAAGCUCGGGAACCCCACAUUUCAUCCCUGUUUCAAAGAAGGCUUAUGUGGAGUUCCUGUUGUGGCUUAGUGGUUAAAGAAUCCGACUAGGAGCCAUGAGGUUUCGGGUUCGAUCCCUGGCCUCACCCAGUGGGUUAAGGAUCGAGUCUUGCUGUGGUUGUGGUGUAGGCUGGCGGCUACAGCUCCGAUUAGACCCCUGGCCUGGUAAUCUCCAUAUGCCAUGGGUGCAGCCCUAGAAAAGGCAAAAAUACAAAAAAAAAAAAAAAAAAAAA
rnacentral:lncRNA from 9 species